GACGAACGCUGGCGGCGUGCCUAACACAUGCAAGUCGAGCGGAGAUGAUGUGAGGAAGUUUUCGGAUGGAAUCACAUUAUUUUAGCGGCGGACGGGUGAGUAACGCGUGAGCGACCAACCUUGCACAGGGGGAUAACGGACCGAAAGGUUCACUAAUACCGCAUGAGACCACGGUGUUGCAUGACACAGGGGUCAAAGGAGCAAUCCGGUGCAAGACGGGCUCGCGUCCGAUUAGGUAGUUGGAGGGGUAACGGCCCACCAAGCCUAUGAUCGGUAGCCGGCCUGCGAGGGUGAUGGGCCACAUUGGAACUGAGAUACGGUCCAAACUCCUACGGGAGGCAGCAGUGGGGAAUACUGGGCAAUGGGGGAAACCCUGACCCAGCAACGCCGCGUGAAGGAAGAAGGUUUUCGGAUUGUAAACUUCUGUCCUUGGUGAAGAGAAGAAGACGGUAGCCAAGGAGGAAGCCCCGGCUAACUACGUGCCAGCCGCCGCAGUAA
rnacentral:rRNA from 1 species